ensembl:lncRNA
GGAUCAAACUUUUUUUUUUUAACUCCUUUUUUUUUUUUUUAACUUUUUUUAACUUUUGGAAUUUUAUUUAAAGAAAUAAUAGUGCCUUGGGCAAGAGCUGAAGCAUGGAAAAAUGUAUCCCAAAAGGUGGAUGCUUUGUGAAAUUAUAAGCGUGUGAAAACAGGUGGUUAAACUGAAAUGGUUUUACAGAUUUAAGUACAGAAGGUGCUACCAAAAACCUGUUAUAAAUCCUCAAUUGAACUCUUCUUGAAAGGCCGAGGUAGGAGGAACAGGCCAUCAGCAAGUAACCUGAACCACUACCAAACCCACAGGCGACUCAAGAACCAGUAAAGACGCCAAGCAAAAUGAGAAGAGGCUUUCUGAGAGGUCAGCAAGGGAGCCAAGUCCAGGCCCAGCCUUCAGUAUAUAAACUCAGUCUCAAAAACUACACCCUAGUGACCGACGUCUGGCUGGGACAAAUUUUACAUACAGCACCUGAUCCAAAGUCAGUGGCAAGUGCUUUGCAAACUCCUCAGUGUUGGAUCGGGGCUUUAAACGUGCAGCCAGGAAGAAAAACAUAUAAGCACUGUGCUGCAGCACGCUGAAGGGUAGACAAAGAGCAAGAGCCAAAAUCACAGUGCCCUUUGCCAUGAAAAGUGGUGGGCGUAUUGCUGAAGGUGGAAACACUGAGAGGAGCCCUGUUUGUUCUAUUCUUGGUCUGCACAGAAAAGAGCUUUUCAGUUGGCUGAAUGGUUUCCAGUGAGCACAACGUGCGGCUGUCACUGUCCUCUUUACUAUGAAGUGUGUUCCUACUGGAGCCCAGCAUCUCAGGAGCACAUCUUCUGGGAAGAUUCAGCUAAAAUAAAUAAGAAAAUUCAAUUAGUGAAAUGUUAUAUGAGUGAAAGUUCCUUUCUCUUCAGAUGAACAUGCCUGUGUGUGUGCGUGUAUGUUCCAAAGGAUGCUUGACUCCACAUUCUAUACUGGGAGGCUGCCUAUUGCUCUAUCCCUUCUUCACAUGUCCUAGCAGAAAUGAAGGCCAUCCCCAACAUGCCUGACCCCCUUGAGCUCAGCUUUGUUUCAAUGAGGUUCUCCCAGAGGGCACAGCAGCCAGGGGCAGUGGGGCUCCAGCCCCACUCUUUGCUCCCAGCUCCGUUAUUAAUGUGCGCUGGCGCAGAGCUUUCAGGCUCGCCAGGUCGCCAGGAAUGAGCUGAUUGCUGUCGUGUUACUAAAAUGUAAGUGUGAUUAUGAAGUGUUAUGAUAUAUGGUCUGCAGAGUUUUACAGCUGCGUCUUAAAAGGCUCAUAACAUGAAAAAAAAAGAAAAAAAAACACUGGGGAGGAGAGGGCUUAAACUAGAAGGCAGGAAUAUAGUCAAAUUAAGGGGUACAAUGGCAUUUCUAAUUAAAACCCCUUGGAGAGAAGGGAGGAAGGAAGUGACGUAACUCCCAGGGCUGACGCAGGAUGGUUAUUGCCCAGGGACAAAGUGAGGGAAAGACAAGCCAGAGGCUGGAGGUGAGACUUGGGUGAUAGGAGAUAAGGCCUUAAGCUCUUUUUCCACUGCCAUAGAGGAAGAUAUAACCAACCACAGAGACUUCACCAGUUGUCCGAACCCUUUGGUGCAUGGAAAGCAGUAAUGAAGACUUCAACCAAGGCAGAGAGUUGCAACCUCAGUGCCGACUGUGUGCACCUCACUUUGGUACAGAAUAGUGUGCUGGCAUCUUCCUGGAAAGACAGUGAGCUCCAUGAGAACCUUGCAAGCGUUUCCACCAGAUCUUGUGUACAGGCAGGGUUACCAAGUGUCUGGGCUGUAAAGUACACGUUGUUUUGCUGUGUAGCAGUGGAAAAAGAGUUUGGAAAGACAAAUCAUGAAAAAAUUCAUAAAUGAGCACGGCGCUCAUCGAAGCCAAACCUGGUCAGUUGUUUUCAUCAGUACGAAAGAAAUAUAUCCUCAGCAGGAGUGCAGGACCCUAUGACUGUGCCUUGAGCCCUCACAACUUUGUUUUUGGUCCCUUCAAAGAAGGAUGAGUCUUCAGGUCUCCUCACCAGCCUCUCCAAGCAGGACCUUAUUCUGCCACCUAGUAUCAACUCAGAGCAGCACCUCUCAUUCCAAGGCAGCAGUGAUACAUCACCUGUUGGGCAAGUAACUGUCCAACCAGUCAG